AGCGAACGCUGGCGGCAGGCCUAACACAUGCAAGUCGAACGAACUCUUCGGAGUUAGUGGCGGACGGGUGAGUAACACGUGGGAACGUGCCUUUAGGUUCGGAAUAACUCAGGGAAACUUGUGCUAAUACCGAAUGUGCCCUUCGGGGGAAAGAUUUAUCGCCUUUAGAGCGGCCCGCGUCUGAUUAGCUAGUUGGUGAGGUAAAGGCUCACCAAGGCGACGAUCAGUAGCUGGUCUGAGAGGAUGAUCAGCCACAUUGGGACUGAGACACGGCCCAAACUCCUACGGGAGGCAGCAGUGGGGAAUCUUGCGCAAUGGGCGAAAGCCUGACGCAGCCAUGCCGCGUGAAUGAUGAAGGUCUUAGGAUUGUAAAAUUCUUUCACCGGGGACGAUAAUGACAGUACCCGGAGAAGAAGCCCCGGCUAACUUCGUG
rnacentral:rRNA from 1 species